UUUGCUUUCAGACGAAGGUCCAGAGCACAGCCCACUGGUUCUCCUUUGCCUCUUCUACUCUUCUUCUAUCCUCUCCUUGAUUUGGUCUUCCCUGGAAGUCAUAGCAUAUUCUUGUGUUUCUUCAGCUUCCUUGUUAGGUUUGCAGAACCGGUUGCAGCUUAUCAGGUUCCAGGGAUAAAGAAGGUGAUACCUCUUCAUUUGGUAUCAUCUUGGAGAGGUCUGAGCACAGGACAGGAGAGGAGAAUGUAGGAAUGUUCUUCUUGAUGUUCUUUUUGUCAUAUACUUUUUUUCUUUUGUCUGGGGAUGUCAAGUGAUGUUGUGAUUGUGCUGGCAGGAGAAAAAUUAAGAUAGCAGCUACUGUUUCUCUCAUCAAUGGAGACCACUUCUCCAUCUAAUUCUGGUGAUGCCUAACCAGCAGUUGUGAUCAGACUUCGAUGAGCUCUCAGUGGAAUAAAGCCUCUAGGUCUUCUAGAUAGCUUCGAUGUGCUCUUUCUGCCUCAUAAUUACAUUUAUAAGAUAAGUCAUUUAAUUUCCAUGUGAAUGAAACUUCUGUAUCAGUCUUGCUGCUUAUCUUAUAUUUACUUAAGUCAGUCCUAAUAUCCAUUGCUGAUGAGGAUACUAUUUGCUUGUUGUCUCAAGAAUAUUACAGGAUAGAAAGCCACUUUAUGUAAGUUCUGGAAUCAAAUAUCUAAGUAGAAUGUGAAAUUACUAACAAAUUAUCUGACUUCAUGAAAUAGGGCCUUAAGACCUUGAAAAUGUUCUGAUCUUGCAUCAUUACCGUUAAACUGAUCAUAAUUUUUCUAUUAAUCAACUGGUUUCAUUUGUUUUUUAUUUCACUUGUUUCUUCCUAAGAGCAUGCUCUGUAUCUCCUUGAAAAAUCCAUACUCCAAUGCUUGCAGUAAUGCAUUGGAUAUUUUGAUGACAGCGUUUGGUUUAAAAACUGUUUUCAGUUAUUUUAUCCAAUUUGCCUUUUCAUGCUACGGAAGAAAAGCACAAUUUUAUAUGUCCAGAAGAUGGCAGGGAACAUGCAUCACAAUAUACUUUGACCUCUUCAAUUGUAUAUCUUUCUGGCANNN
rnacentral:lncRNA from 1 species